rnacentral:piRNA from 1 species
UAGCACAUCAGUAGAUAUAUCCUAUCCC